ensembl:lncRNA
AACAUAGGAUGAAAACCCUGUUAAACCUUCAACAUGUUGAACACAACAACUUCCUUAUUAUUCACCAAGAUACCAAGUGGAAUGAGAAGUUCAGAAUUAAAGAGGUCUUUUCAGUGUCACGGUGUCUGUUCUGUGUCUCCCUGGGUGGCCACUAGAGGUCUCACUUCCCCUUAUCGUCACUCCACUUUAGAACUGCAUUUCCCAUAGUCUUGUCUGUUUCAUCACUGCUCAUUGCACUCAGCUGUCCGUGGUUAUCAAUCAUUGCACUCAGCCAAUUCCCCGUUAGCAUUGUCAUUUCCUUGUGUAUAAAUACCCCGGUUGUUCUGUCAUUGUCACGGAGUCCUUGUUGAAUGUCACCCUGGUUUGUCGUGGUUCUCGGAUGUUGUGUAUGUUUCUUGUUUCUGGACUGCUUACCUGGAUUGUGACCUUUGCCUGGCUGACCAUGAGAUUUGGAUUAUCCUAAUAAAACAUACUGCAAUUGGAUCUACCUGUUUGUGUGCGUGUCGUGACAGAAGGACUCCGUCAUGCCUAGAUCCAGCGGUGUGGGAUUUCGAAUCGGUUCCCCAGCCACCAUGGAGGAACGGAGGGGGAGAUUCCGGAACUUAACCACCCUUCGUCAAAGGGGGAGUGAGGUGGGUGGCCUGGCGCAAUUGUUUUGGACCAUGGCGGUCGGGAUGGGUUAUAACGAUGCAGCACUGAAGAUCCUAGACUUUUGGGGGUUUACCCAUUACCUGUGCCAUCGUGCUCAAUGGGAUACUUCGACCACACCUGUGUCUCCAGAGAAGAGGGCCGCCAGCCCAGCGCCACAGCACAAGAUGGCCGCCAACCCAGCGCCACAGCACAAGAUGGCCGCCAGCCCGGCGCCACAGCACAAGAUGGCCGCCAGUUCAGCACCACAGCACAAGAUGGCCGCCAGCCCAGCGCCACAGCACAAGAUGGCCGCCAGCCCAGCACCACAGCACGAGAUGACCACCAGCCCAGCACCACUGCACAGGAGGGUCGAAUCUACACCUGUGUUGGCAGACAAGAUGGUUGACUCAACGCCUGAGUCUUCCGUCAAGGAGCCACCGGCACGUCAUCAUAGAGGCCGCAGGAGGAGGAGACAGGCGUCAGCCGUUCCUCAAAGCCCGGAGGGAGGAGGAGACAGGCCGCUGCCGUUCCCACCCGGAGGACGUUCCCGAGCAGGCCGCUGCCGUCCAGGAGGACGUUCCCGAGCAGGCCGCGGUCGUCCAGGUGGAGGUGUCCAAGGUUCCCGAGGCGGUGCCCGAUGCCGAGGCCGUUCCCGAGGCGGUGCCCGAUGCCGAGCCCGAGGCGGUUCCCGAUGCAAUGCCCGAGGCCGAGAAGGUGGCCGAGACAGAAGCGGUUCCCGAUGCUAUGCACGAGGCCGAGGCCGGCCCGUGGCCGAGGCGGUGCCCGAUGCCGAGGCGGUGCCCGAUGCCGAGGCGGUGCCCGAUGCCGAGGCGGUGCCCGAUGCCGAGGCGGUGCCCGAUGCCGAGGCGGUGCCCGAGGCGGUUCCCGAUGCAAUGUCCGAGGCCGAGGCGGUGCCCGAUGCCGAGGCGGUGCCCGAUGCCGAGGCGGUGCCCGAUGCCAGGGCGGUGCCCGAGGCGGUGCCCGAUGCCGAGGCGGUGCCCGAUGUUGUUCCCGAUGCCGAGGCGGUGCCCGAUGUUGUUUCCGAUGCCGAGGCGGUGCCCGAGGUGGUUCCCGAUGCAAUGUCCGAUGCCGAGGCGGUGCCCGAUGCCGAUGCGGUGCCCGAUGCCGAGGCGGUGCCCGAUGCGGUGGCCGAGGCGGUGCCUGAUGCCGAGGCGGUCCCCGAUGCAAUGUCCGAUGCCGAGGCGGUCCCCGAUGCCGAGGCCAUUCCCGAGGCGGUGCCCGAUGCUGUUCCGGAGGCCGAUGCGGGGCCCGAGAUGGUUCCGGAGGCGAUACCCGUGUCCAAGGCCGUUCCCGAGGCGGUGCCCUUGUCUGAGGCCGAUGCCGUUCCCAAUGCCGUGACCUGGCCAUCGCCACAGCCUGCUCCUUACUGGCUCCCCGAUUGGCAGGUUCCGUUCGGGCCACUCAAAUGGCGAAUUCCUCCCUGGCCGUCUGCACAACGAGAAUGGACUGAUCCACCGUGGCCACCUGAACUGCCUGGUCCCUCGUGGUCCCCUGAACUUUCGGGUCCACCAUGGCCCCCUGAUCUGACCGAGCCACCUGGGCUACCAGGGGAGCCAUCACUGCCGGUCCCAGUUCCCCUACACGGGCCUGGCCCGCCAUCCCUCCCCCUGUUCUGCCUCCACCAGUCCACCUCCCUCAUGGUCUCUUUGUUUUUUGGUUAUUUUGUUCUGAGGAGCAUCUGGAAGCUGCUCCUUAGAGGGGGGGUAGUGUCACGGUGUCUGUUCUGUGUCUCCCUGGGUGGCCACUAGAGGUCUCACUUCCCCUUAUCGUCACUCCACUUUAGAACUGCAUUUCCCAUAGUCUUGUCUGUUUCAUCACUGCUCAUUGCACUCAGCUGUCCGUGGUUAUCAAUCAUUGCACUCAGCCAAUUCCCCGUUAGCAUUGUCAUUUCCUUGUGUAUAAAUACCCCGGUUGUUCUGUCAUUGUCACGGAGUCCUUGUUGAAUGUCACCCUGGUUUGUCGUGGUUCUCGGAUGUUGUGUAUGUUUCUUGUUUCUGGACUGCUUACCUGGAUUGUGACCUUUGCCUGGCUGACCAUGAGAUUUGGAUUAUCCUAAUAAAACAUACUGCAAUUGGAUCUACCUGUUUGUGUGCGUGUCGUGACAUUCAGAGGUUGCGUAACAGAUUAUAUGGAGAAGGCAAUCAUUAAUGAGGGUGACACUUUCUACACUGCACACCUGCUAUGUGCAAAUACUGAUUCAGACCAUGGCUGCUGUGUUGGUGUCUAGACACAGAAACAGGAUCUUGCCUUUGUGCUAUGUCAACAGCUUUGGGAUAAUUGCAUGUGUAGGAGGAGGUAUGAGCAGGUGUGUUGUGCAUGAUUACUUGUUUCGAUUGUCAAUCUUGGUCAAGUCCUUAGAUUCCGUCUUUUUAUCCAAAUUAGACGCAGUAGGAAAUAUUCUAAAUCUGUUCUUAGGGAGUCUGUAACAGACUGAAAGAA